UACAGAGGUGGCAAGCGUUGUUCGGAAUUACUGGGCGUAAAGGGCGCGUAGGCGGCCUCGCAAGUCCCGUGUGAAAUCCCUCGGCUCAACUGAGGAAUGGCACGGGAAACUGCGGGGCUUGAGUUCGGGAGAGGGAAGCGGAAUUCCGGGUGUAGCGGUGAAAUGCGUAGAUAUUGGGAGGAACACCAGUGGCGAAGGCGGCUACCUGGACCGGAACUGACGCUGAUGCGCGAAAGCGUGGGUAGCAAACAGG
rnacentral:rRNA from 1 species